UAAUGAGGGGAGGAAAAGAAACUAACAAGGAUUUUCUUAGUAGCGGCGAGCGAAAAGAAAAAAAUAAGUUCAGCACUAAGUCACUUUGUCUUUUAUGGCAAAUGUGAAAUGCAGUGUUUGUGGAAUAUCAAAUUUCUAGUAUGAGAAAUUAACGAUUUAAGUCCUUCUUAAAUGAGGCCAUUUACCCAGAGAGGGUGCCAGGCCCGUAUAACGUUAAUGAUUACUAGAUGAUAUUUCCAAAGAGUCGUGUUGCUUGAUAGUGCAGCACUAAGCGGGUGGUAAACUCCAUCUAAAGCUAAAUAUAACCAUGAGACCGAUAGUAAACAAGUACCGUGAGGGAAAGUUGAAAAGAACUCUGAAUAGAGAGUUAAAUAGUACGUGAAACUGCUUAGAGGUUAAACCCGAUGAACCUGAAUAAUCCGUUAUGGAAAAUUCAUCAUUAUGAUUAUAAUAUUUAAAUUUAUUUUUAAAUAGAAUAAUAAUGGUGUGCAUUUUUUCCAUAAAAGGAACAUUGUAAUCUAUUAAUAUAUAAAAUUUUAUUUACCAAAAGAUCAUUGUGCGCGCAAGUUUGUUCAGAUUAUAUUUUCCUUAUAGAAAUAAUAAUAUUAGAACAAGGGCACGCUACCUGAUUUGGUAAAAUAUUAAUAGAAAUAUUCUUAUGAGAAUAAAUGAUGCUUUAAAUAUAUAUGAUUAAAUAUGUACAAUGUAUAUAUAUAAUUUUUAUAUAUAUUGUUGUAUAAUUUACUAUGUAUUUAUUUUGUAAGUUCGUAGCAUAAAAUUUAUGCUGAUGAAUUUUACAUUGAAGCAUUUUAUAUGAUUAACAAUGCGAAAGAUUCAGGAUACCUUCGGGACCCGUCUUGAAACACGGACCAAGGAGUCUAACAUAUUUGCAAGUUAUUGGGUAAAAUAAAAAAAAAAAUUUACCUAAUAGCAUAAUUAAUAUAACUUUUUUCCUUAAUAUAUAUAUAUAUAUUGGGAAAAAAAUGGGAUUAAUUUUUAGAAUAGUAUCGUUGAUGUAUUUUUCUUUAAUUUUUUUUUAAAAAGAAAAAGGAGAAAAUUAUAUUUAUCAGAGAGAGAAAUUCUAUUAAUUUAAUCCCGGGGCGUUCUUUAUUAUAAUAUAGUUUUUUUUAUGUGUGCAUUUAUAAAUAAUUUUUAUUUAUUUUGCCUCUAAAAUAUCUAUAUUUAAGAGCGUACCUUGAGCAUAUAUGCUAUGACCCGAAAGAUGGUGAACUAUGCUUGAUCAGGUUGAAGUCAGGGGAAACCCUGAUGGAGGACCGAAACAGUUCUGACGUGCAAAUCGAUUGUCAGAAUUGAGUAUAGGGGCGAAAGACCAAUCGAACCAUCUAGUAGCUGGUUCCCUCCGAAGUUUCCCUCAGGAUAGCUGGUGCAUAAUAAAAAUAAUCUUAUCUGGUAAAGCGAAUGAUUAGAGGCCUUAGGGUCGAAACGACCUUAACCUAUUCUCAAACUUUAAAUGGGUAAGAACCUCACCUUUCUUGGCACGAAGGUUGUGGUUAUGAUAUUAAUGUGCCCAGUGGGCCACUUUUGGUAAGCAGAACUGGCGCUGUGGGAUGAACCAAACGUAAUGUUGCGGUGCCCAAAUUAAUAACUUAUACAGAUACCAUGAAAGGCGUUGGUUGCUUAAAACAGCAGGACGGUGGACAUGGAAGUCGUAAUCCGCUAAGGAGUGUGUAAUAACUCACCUGCCGAAGCAACUAGCCCUUAAAAUGGAUGGCGCUUAAGUUGUGUACCUAUACAUUACCGCUAAAGUAAAUGGCUUAUUUUAUGUUCAAAUCUUUUAUGAUUUGAAAUUUUUAUUAUAAGCUUUGAAACUUUAGUGAGUAGGAGGGUACUAUGGUGUGCUCUGAAGUGUUUGGCGUAAGCCUGCAUGGAGCCGCCAUUGGUACAGAUCUUGGUGGUAGUAGCAAAUAAUCGAAUGAGACCUUGGAGGACUGAAGUGGAGAAGGGUUUCGUGUGAACAGUGGUUGAUCACGAGUUAGUCGGUCCUAAGUUCAAGGCGAAAGCUAAGAAAUUUUCAAAUUAAUAGAAAAAAAUAUAUACCAUAUAUAUAAUAUGAGAAAUUAUUAUAUAUCAAAAAAAAAAAAUUAUAUUAUUAGUUAAAUAUUUGAAAAGUUCUUUGAACGAAAGGGAAUACGGUUCCAAUUCCGUAACUUGUUGAGUAUCCGUUUGUUAAUAAAUAUGGGCCUUGUGCUCAUCCUGGUAACAGGAACGACCAUAAAGAAGCCGUCGAGAGAUAUCGGAAGAGUUUUCUUUUCUGUUUUAUAGUCAUACUGCCAUGGAAGUCUUUCGAAGAGAGAUAUGGUAGGUGGGCUAGAAGAGCAUGACAUUUACUGUUGUGUCGAUAUUUUCUCUUCGGACCUUGAAAAUUUAUGGUGGGGUCACGCAAACUUCUCAACAAGCCGUACCAAUAUCCGCAGCUGGUCUCCAAGGUGAAGAGUCUCUAGUCGAUAGAAUAAUGURGGUAAGGGAAGUCG
rnacentral:rRNA from 1 species